rnacentral:rRNA from 1 species
CACGUAGGGUGCGAGCGUUGUCCGGAAUUAUUGGGCGUAAAGAGCUCGUAGGCGGUGUGUCGCGUCGGCCGUGAAAACCUGCAGCUUAACUGUGGGCGUGCGGUCGAUACGGGCAUCACUGGAGUUCGGCAGGGGAGACUGGAAUUCCUGGUGUAGCGGUGAAAUGCGCAGAUAUCAGGAGGAACACCGGUGGCGAAGGCGGGUCUCUG